CUCCAGCUGAUAAGUCCCAAAUAGGACGAAACGCGCGUCAAAAUGGAU
rfam:Schistosoma rodhaini strain Burundi genome assembly, scaffold: SROB_scaffold0000423